CCGAGCGAGGGCCUCCGGCCCGACCUCCAACCCUUUGUUGACCAACACCCGUUGCAUCGGGGGCGACCCGGACGCCGACGCGUCGGCCGUCGGGCACCCCGGUGGACCACGUCAAUUCUGUGUCCGUACGUCGGAGUACUUUGCGAAUCAAUCA
rnacentral:misc_RNA from 1 species